CCUAAGAAUAAUACCGAAUAAGUUAGGAGUUGAUAGAUCUAAUUAUCCUAAGUUAGAGUAAUUAACCUAGAUAUAAAUCCUGAAUUUUCCGCCCGAUUCUCACUGUAGCCCUAAAAUCGUUGAUUUCCUCUCCACCGGUAUCCAGAACCCAAUGAAACGCCACCUCGCGUGGGCGAUUUCCUCUGAGGGCAUCAUGAUCAGACGCAGUGGUCUUUAGCCAUCUCAUCGGUGGCACGGAAUGACUGGGCGAGGGCUUUCGUCGGUAGAACGAAGAAGGGAAGACUUAUGAUGUACAUGAUGGAGGUGAGGGAGACGCCUCCUAGGAUAUUAUGGAGGACAUGCAUACGGAGCAGACGAGGAGGCGAGAUGGUACUACGACACACUGCCCGAGGACCUUUAGGAGUGUCGUAAAGACUUUUGUUUCUGUGACCUUUCUUGAUAUGUAUGGGAUGGAGUGUUGGUGUUUCCAUUUUUCCUUUAUCUAAAAUUUCUUGAGUUAUGAUGUUUCCAUGUAUGUCGAAUAAUGGUGGUUCUUAUCUAGUGGGAUUUCUAUUAUAGUUUUCCAUUCCAA